rnacentral:sRNA from 1 species
UCAUAUACUUAAGCGUCCGACGGCCAAAC